GGGGCACUGGAUUUUUUCCCCUCACAUUUUGACUAUUGUGAAUAGUGCUGCUGUGAACAUUCAUAUUCAAUUUUUUUGUUUGUUUGUUUUGGUUUGGUUUUUUUUUUUUUUUUGUGACUUGUUUUCAAUCUCUUGAGUAAAUACCUACAAAUACAAUUGCUAGGUCACAUAGUAACUAUACUACGUUUAACUUUCUAAGGUUAAACACCAAGCUGUUUUCCCACUUGAUAAGAUGUGGCUGCAUCACUUGACAUUCCCUGGACUAAUGUAUGUAGGUUCAAGUUUUUCCACACCUUGACAACACUUGUUAUUUUCCAUUUUUGUUGUUGUUACUGUGGUGAUUCUCUUAUCUUUCUUUUCCUUUUCCAUUUUGUAGCCACUCUGGUACAUGUGAAAUGGCAUUUCAUCAUGGUUUUCAUUUGUAUUACUCUAAUGAUGAUGAUGUUGACAUGUUUAUAUGUCCUUAUUAGCCACUAAGGCAUCUUCCAUGGAGUAAUGUCUAUUUUUAAAUUGUGCUUUUUUGCUCAUUUUUAUUGUCAAUAGCAAGAGUUCCAUAUAUACUCUGGAUAUAAGUCUAUUUAUUAGAUAUGUGGUAUACAAAUAUAUUCUUAUACUUUGUAGGUUGUUUCAUUUUAUUGAUAGUGUCC
rnacentral:lncRNA from 1 species